GAUGAACGCUGGCGGCGUGCUUAACACAUGCAAGUCGAACGGUGAAGCAGGAGCUUGCUCUUGUGGAUCAGUGGCGAACGGGUGAGUAACACGUGAGCAACCUGCCCCUGACUCUGGGAUAAGCGCUGGAAACGGCGUCUAAUACUGGAUAUGUGAUGUGACCGCAUGGUCUGCAUCUGGAAAGAAUUUCGGUUGGGGAUGGGCUCGCGGCCUAUCAGCUUGUUGGUGAGGUAAUGGCUCACCAAGGCGUCGACGGGUAGCCGGCCUGCGAGGGUGACCGGCCACACUGGGACUGAGACACGGCCCAGACGCCUACGGGAGGCAGCAGUGGGGAAUAUUGCACAAUGGGCGGAAGCCUGAUGCAGCAACGGCGCGUGAGGGAUGACGGCCUUCGGGUUGUAAACCUCUUUUAGCAGGGAAGAAGCGGAAGUGACGGUACCUGCAGAAAAAGCACCGGCUAACUACGUGCCAGCCGCCGCGGUAA
rnacentral:rRNA from 1 species